AAGACCUUGCACUUUUGGAGCGGCCGAUGUCUGAUUAGCUAGUUGGUGGGGUAAUGGCCUACCAAAGCUUCGAUCAGUAGCUGGUCUGAGAGGACGGCCGGCCACACUGGGACUGAGACACGGCCCAGACUCCUACGGGAGGCAGCAGUGGGGAAUUUUGGACAAUGGGCGCAAGCCUGAUCCAGCCAUGCCGCGUGAGUGAAGAAGGCCUUCGGGUUGUAAAGCUCUUUCAGCCGGGAAGAAAAGGUUGCGACUAAUAAUCGCAAUCCAUGACGGUACCGAAAGAAGAAGCACCGGCUAACUACGUGCCAGCAGCCGCGGUAAUACGUAGGGUGCGAGCGUUAAUCGGAAUUACUGGGCGUAAAGGGUGCGCAGGCGGUUUUGUAAGUCAGAUGUGAAAUCCCCGGGCUUAACCUGGGAACU
rnacentral:rRNA from 1 species